rnacentral:rRNA from 1 species
ACUGCUAUCGGUAUGGGAUUAAGCCAUGCGAGUCGAACGUCUCCCGGCUGUGGGAGGCGUGGCACACGGCUCAGUAACACGUAGUCAACCUACCUUGGAGACAUGGACAAUCCCGGGAAACUGGGGCUAAUCCGUGNCGGNUUCANAGUUCUGGAAUGGCUCCNAGCCGAAAAGGUCAGGCGAGCAUGCUCGCUUGGUCNCUCCAAGACNGGACUGCGGCCGAUNAGGUUGUUGGUGGGGUAGUGGCCCACCAAGCCAGUAACCGGUGCGGGCUCUGAGAGGAGGGGCCCGGAGAUGGACACUGAGACAAGGGUCCAGGCCCUACGGGGCGCANCANGCGCGAAACCUUUACACUGCACGACAGCGCGAUAAGGCUAUACCGAGUGCCAUCCGCUGAGGGUGGCUUUUCCUAGGUCUAAAUANCCUGGGGAAUAAGGGGAGGGCAAGCCUGGUGUCAGCCGCCGCGGUAAUACCAGCUCCCCNAGUGGUCAGGACGAUUAUUGNGCUUAAAGCAUCCGUAGCCGGCUCUGUAGGUCUCUUGUUAAAUCCAACGGCUCAACCGUUGGUUCGCAGGGNAUACC